rnacentral:rRNA from 1 species
GACGAACGCUGGCGGCGUGCCUAACACAUGCAAGUCAACUUGACUGAAGGAGCAAUCUGACAGUAGAGUGGCGCAAGGGUGCGUAACGCGUAAGUAACUUGCCCAAGGUAAGGAAUAACGUCGAGAAAUCGGCGCUAAUACCUCAUAAUGCAGCGGAUCCGCAUGGAUAUGUUGUUAAAGGUUUACCGCCUUGGGAUAGGCUUGCGUCUGAUUAGCUAGUUGGUGUGGUAACGGCACACCAAGGCUACGAUCAGUAACUGGUCUGAGAGGAUGAUCAGUCACACUGGAACUGAGACACGGCCCAGACUCCUACGGGAGGCAGCAGUGAGGAAUAUUGGGCAAUGCUCGAAAGAGUGACCCAGCAACGCCGCGUGGAGGAUGAAGGUAUUCUAUAUCGUAAACUCCUGUGAGAGCAGACGAAAGACAGAUUAUUAAUCUGGAUGACUGUAUGCUCAGAGGAAGCCCCGGCUAA